ACAGGCUUAACACAUGCAAGUCGAGGGGCAGCAUGGUCUUAGCUUGCUAAGGCCGAUGGCGACCGGCGCACGGGUGAGUAACACGUAUCCAACCUGCCGUCUACUCUUGGACAGCCUUCUGAAAGGAAGAUUAAUACAAGAUGGCAUCAUGAGUCCGCAUGUUCACAUGAUUAAAGGUAUUCCGGUAGACGAUGGGGAUGCGUUCCAUUAGAUAGUAGGCGGGGUAACGGCCCACCUAGUCUUCGAUGGAUAGGGGUUCUGAGAGGAAGGUCCCCCACAUUGGAACUGAGACACGGUCCAAACUCCUACGGGAGGCAGCAGUGAGGAAUAUUGGUCAAUGGGCGCAGGCCUGAACCAGCCAAGUAGCGUGAAGGAUGACUGCCCUAUGGGUUGUAAACUUCUUUUAUAAAGGAAUAAAGUCGGGUAUGUAUACCCGUUUGCAUGUACUUUAUGAAUAAGGAUCGGCUAACUCCGUGCCAGCAGCCGCGGUAAUACGGAGGAUCCGAGCGUUAUCCGGAUUUAUUGGGUUUAAAGGGAGCGUAGAUGGAUGUUUAAGUCAGUUGUGAAAGUUUGCGGCUCAACCGUAAAAUUGCAGUUGAUACUGGAUAUCUUGAGUGCAGUUGAGGCAGGCGGAAUUCGUGGUGUAGCGGUGAAAUGCUUAGAUAUCACGAAGAACUCCGAUUGCGAAGGCAGCCUGCUAAGCUGCAACUGACAUUGAGGCUCGAAAGUGUGGGUAUCAAACAGGAUUAGAUACCCUGGUAGUCCACACGGUAAACGAAGAAUACUCGCUGUUUGCGAUAUACGGCAAGCGGCCAAGCGAAAGCGUUAAGUAUUCCACCUGGGGAGUACGCCGGCAACGGUGAAACUCAAAGGAAUUGACGGGGGCCCGCACAAGCGGAGGAACAUGUGGUUUAAUUCGAUGAUACGCGAGGAACCUUACCCGGGCUUAAAUUGCAGAUGAAUUACGGUGAAAGCCGUAAGCCGCAAGGCAACUGUGAAGGUGCUGCAUGGUUGUCGUCAGCUCGUGCCGUGAGGUGUCGGCUUAAGUGCCAUAACGAGCGCAACCCUUGUUGUCAGUUACUAACAGGUUCCGCUGAGGACUCUGACAAGACUGCCAUCGUAAGAUGUGAGGAAGGUGGGGAUGACGUCAAGUCAGCACGGCCCUUACGUCCGGGGCUACACACGUGUUACAAUGGGGGGUACAGAGGGCCGCUACCACGCGAGUGGAUGCCAAUCCCCAAAACCUCUCUCAGUUCGGACUGGAGUCUGCAACCCGACUCCACGAAGCUGGAUUCGCUAGUAAUCGCGCAUCAGCCACGGCGCGGUGAAUACGUUCCCGGGCCUUGCACA
rnacentral:rRNA from 1 species